ACAAGCGGUGGAGCAUGUGGUUAAUUCGAAGCAACGCGAAGAACCUUACCAGGCCUUGACAUGCAGAGAACUUUCCAGAGAUGGAUUGGUGCCUUCGGGAACUCUGACACAGGUGCUGCAUGGCUGUCGUCAGCUCGUGUCGUGAGAUGUUGGGUUAAGUCCCGUAACGAGCGCAACCCUUGUCCUUAGUUACCAGCACGUUAUGGUGGGCACUCUAAGGAGACUGCCGGUGACAAACCGGAGGAAGGUGGGGAUGACGUCAGGUCAUCAUGGCCCUUACGGCCUGGGCUACACACGUGCUACAAUGGUCGGUACAAAGGGUUGCCAAGCCGCGAGGUGGAGCUAAUCCCAUAAAACCGAUCGUAGUCCGGAUCGCAGUCUGCAACUCGACUGCGUGAAGUCGGAAUCGCUAGUAAUCGUGAAUCAGAAUGUCACGGUGAAUACGUUCCCGGGCCUU
rnacentral:rRNA from 1 species